UCCUCCCUCUGGCGGCGUGCUUAACACAUGCAAGUCGAACGGAAAGGCCCUGCUUUUGUGGGGUGCUCGAGUGGCGAACGGGUGAGUAACACGUGAGUAAACUGCCCUUGACUUUGGGGUAACUUCAGGGAACUGGGGCUAAUACCGGAUAGGAGCUCCUGCUGCGCGGGGGGGGUUGGUAAGUUUCGGCGGUUGGGGAUGGUCUCGCGGCUUAUCAGCUUGUUGGUGGGGUAGUGGCUUUACAAGGCUUUGACGGGUAGGCGGCCUGAGAGGGGGACCGGCCACAAUGGGACUGAGGUACGGCCCAGACGCCUACGGUAGGCAGCAGUGGGGAAUAUGGCGCAACGGGCGGAAGCCUGAUGCAGCAACGCCGCGUGCGGGAUGACGGCCUUCGGGGUGUAAACCGCUUUCGCCUGUGACGAGGCGUGAGUGACGGUAAUGGGUAAAGAAGCACCGGCUAACUACGUG
rnacentral:rRNA from 1 species